rnacentral:rRNA from 1 species
AGUGAACGCUGGCGGUAGGCCUAACACAUGCAAGUCGAACGGCAGCACAGAGGAGCUUGCUCCUUGGGUGGCGAGUGGCGGACGGGUGAGGAAUACAUCGGAAUCUACUCUGUCGUGGGGGAUAACGUAGGGAAACUUACGCUAAUAUCGCAUACGACCUACGGGUGAAAGCAGGGGAUCUUCGGACCUUGCGCGAUUGAAUGAGCCGAUGUCGGAUUAGCUAGUUGGCGGGGUAAAGGCCCACCAAGGCGACGAUCCGUAGCUGGUCUGAGAGGAUGAUCAGCCACACUGGAACUGAGACACGGUCCAGACUCCUACGGGAGGCAGCAGUGGGGAACAUUGGACAAUGGGCGUAAGCCUGAUCCAGCCAUACCGCGUGGGUGAAGAAGGCCUUCGGGUUGUAAAGCCCUUUUGUUGGGAAAGAAAUCCAUCUGGUUAAUACCCGGGUGGGAUGACGGUACCCAAAGAAUAAGCACCGGCUAACUUCGUGCCAGCCGCCGCCGUAA